CGAAGGGUGCAAGCGUUAAUCGGAAUUACUGGGCGUAAAGCGCGCGUAGGUGGUUCGUUAAGUUGGAUGUGAAAGCCCCGGGCUCAACCUGGGAACUGCAUCCAAAACUGGCGAGCUAGAGUACGGUAGAGGGUGGUGGAAUUUCCUGUGUAGCGGUGAAAUGCGUAGAUAUAGGAAGGAACACCAGUGGCGAAGGCGACCACCUGGACUGAUACUGACACUGAGGUGCGAAAGCGUGGGGAGCAAACAGGAUU
rnacentral:rRNA from 1 species